AAGUGAUGGUCCUCUUGAGGUAGGCCACGCACCCCCAGGGGUGCUCACACCCCAGUUUGGGAAACCUGGCCGUAAUUAAUUACUUUUGUAAUGUGUUACCCCCAACACUGCGUUUGAUUUGGUGCAUAUUGUGUUUGUCUUUCAGAGCACAUCACAGUCGUCUGUGUGACACCCCCUCGCUGCACGCCGGCACCCAAACCAAGCCACCUCCACCACCGGUCAGAUCAUCUCGCUGAAGAUGUGUACAGUACGCUCCUGCCUGCAUCCUACCACCACAAGUUCACCCCAGAGGAUCUGCUGGCGACAACCAUUGUGAUAUCGUUGCAAUUAUGAAACACACUUAAUAAAUGCUAAUACAUCACAUCACACA